rnacentral:rRNA from 1 species
CCUACGGGAGGCUGCAGUGAGGAAUAUUGGUCAAUGGACGAGAGCCUGAACCAGCCAAGUCGCGUGAAGGAUGACGGCCCUACGGGUUGUAAACUUCUUUUGUCAGGGAUCAAUUGGGUCCACGCGUGGGCUUAGCGAGAGUACCUGAAGAAAAAGCAUCGGCUCACUCCGUGCCAGCAGCCGCGGUAAUACGGAGGAUGCGAGCGUUAUCCGUAUUUAUUGGGUUUAAAGGGUGGGUAGGAGGAAUAUCAAGUCAUCGGUAAAAGUUCGGGGACCAACCCCGUCGUGCCGUUGAAACUGAUGGUCUUGAGUGGGCGAGAAGUAUGCGGAAGGCGUGGUGUAGCGGUGAAAUGCAUAGAUAUCACGCAGAACUCCGAUUGCGAAGGCAGCAUACCGGCGUCCAACUGACGCUGAAGCACGAAAGUGUGGGUAUCGAACAGGAUUAGAUACCCCAGUAGUC